AUUGAACGCUAGCGGGAUGCUUUACACAUGCAAGUCGAACGGCAGCGCGGACUUCGGUCUGGCGGCGCGUGGCGAACGGGUGAGUAAUGUAUCUGAACGUGCCCAGUAGCGGGGGAUAACUACGCCAAAGCGUAGCUAAUACCGCAUACGCCCUACGGGGGCAAGCAGGGGAUCGUAAGACCUUGCCCUCUUGGAGCGGCCGAUAUCGGAUUAGCUAGUUGGUGAGGUAACGGCUCACCAAGGCGACGAUCCGUAGCUGGUGUGAGUGGACGACCAGCCACACGGGGACUGAGACACGGCCCAGACUCCUACGGGAGGCAGCAGUGGGGAAUUUUGGACAAUGGGGGCAACCCUGGUCCAGCCAGCCCGCGUGUGCGAUGAAGGCCUUCGGGUUGGAAAGCACGUUUGGCAGGAAAGAAACGUCGCGGGCUAAUACCCCGUGGAACUGACGGUACCUGCAGAAUAAGCACCGGCUAACUACGUG
rnacentral:rRNA from 1 species